ACUCGAGAUUUGUGGGGUCCGCCCUGUCUCCUCGGCUUAUCCAGACCAGCAACCUCACCAACCACCACUGCUAUAACCCCACUGCUUACAACCAGCGAGCAAGCAGCAGCAGCAGCAACAUCAGCAGGCGGCAGCCAACCCACUCAACCCAACCCCACAAGUCGCGAACAUAGCUCCACCCCAGCACCCAGCCCCGGUUGUUGUAGCCCAGCACAGAGUGUCUCCCCUCUCCGGCUCGCGGUAGGCGAAUCCGCACAGACUCGACACUGGAGCCAGACGGGAACAGCAGCAGCUGAAGCAGAAGCAGCGGCAGCAGCAGCGGCGGCGACGGCUAUAAUGGUAGAGAGAGAGAGAGAGGGGCCGAGGCGUUCGAAGAUACGAGACGGGCAGACUCGCAGAGGAGGAGGAGCCGUUUCAACUCUUCGCCGGCUUCCCGUCGCUUGAGCGGCCGGAAUAUAAAAAAAAAAAUUCAAAUCUGCCAGGGCGAAGCGACGUUGGGGUUGUGAGCAAGAGAUGUCUCCGUGCGGUGGUCUCCGGGUCGACGAGCUUUCGAUCAAUGGUUCAGAGAAAGCGGAGGGGCUCAAGGCUGAAUUCCAGGCGACAUGCUUUCGGCACAGCCGCGCGUCUAAUCGGGGAGAAACACACGCGGUGAGUAACCCUACGGCAGGGGCUUGCAGCGGUAGGCGCCGCGGCACGGGGGCCCACGCUCGCGCCUCCAGCGAUCGCUCCGCCGUCGUCGAGCGAGAGAGCCGAGGGGGUUCCACGCUGACGGCUGGUGCCGUCGUGCUGCGCUUUUAACGCGAGCGCAGCUGCACGCGGACUCCUGUGGGCGCGUGAGUGACUCAUGGCCGCCUGGCCGACGAUGGAGACUCGUGAAGUCAACCGACACCUCCUCCCCCCUUCCCCCCCCAAAAAAAACCAAAAUAGCGAGCGCUACCUUCGCGGUUUUUUGUUCGCUAUAAAGAAGGGCUUACGAGCUCGGCGAGAAUUCGCGCGGCUUUUUAAAAGGGGGGGGUGGGGUGGGGUGGGUUUGGAACGGGGACGCGAAUGGGCUAACUACUAAUGCCACGGAUUGUUCUUUAUCUCAUCAGCCUUGGCAUUCAUGUUACAGCACGUGACGUGUGUGUGUGUGUUAUUUCUCGCUCUCCUAAAUUCUGCGAACAGCCAGACUGAGGGUGGGUGGAGGGUAAACGCUUGUUUACAAAGUGUGGAGAAUGCCAGCCCAGUGGGGGGAGAGCGGCGAGCAGCACUGACUAAAUUUGCCGUCUCGUCAGCAGCCUGGGUGCGGGACAGGUGGAGAGGUUUUUAGGGUUAGGGGUGAGCCCUUUCAGAGCUCGAGGCGUCGUCUCGUCCAUCCUCCUUUACGAGCCAGGGAGAUCCCGGGGGGCAGGGGGGGGGUGGAAGGAGGGACAAAGGGCGGGCUGGCGGACGGUUCGCGUUUUUGAAAAAUUCUAAACAGUGGCAUCCCCCCCCACCUACCUACCAUUGCCCGCGCUCGCAUUUCAUCCUUCGGCCCCGCGUCUGGAUGCCCGUGACGGGGACUGCCAUCGGCAAGGAACGAUGUGUCGAGGCGUCGCUAGAAAAAUUGAUUGUCACGCCUGCAGCGAGGGUGGUAAUUGAUCGCGUUUACGAUGAUGUAACAGGUUACUCAAAACUGCACGUGUAGCUGCAUUGCUCGCGUUCCGUUUGGGCGCAGCAAACUCACAAAAUUAAAGCGCGCAAAAAGAGUAACUAGAAACAAUACGAGUUUAAUUAUUUUUCAAUCGAUUCUUGAAUUGCAUCGUAAUCAAUCGUGAAUUGUGACGAGUCAUUUAAUUGCUAGUGUGGGAGGGGGGGGCUGACUUGCGACUGGCAUUGCAUUCAAUCAUCAAGCAAAGGGCCACAACAGCAGCUGACUUCCUGACCGAAUGACAGUGUUAGCGUUAUACAUAAGUAAGCGAUUAUGCCAGCCUCUUUAAUAUAACGAGGGAAACACUGGGUCUAGGCUGAGCGGAGGAUUCUGUAGGUGGGGCUUUGAGACUCUGGUCAAGUCCUGGAUCAAGACCCCUUCCAGUUUAACACGUAGUUGGCUUUCACGACCAAUAUUAUCCAUAAUAGGUUAGAUCGCAUAAUAUAAAUGUGUCGUUAAAACCGCCACCACCCGACACAGCUAAUUAAUAAGGUUUGUCACGUAAACAACGCAUGCCGAUUCGUUGCUAGUACAGCACACCUGUGUGUUGGAGAGUAAACCCACAUUCUUGAAUUGUUAAUUUUGUGUUUACGCAAUUUAACCCAAAAACCUCUAUGCUGAAUAAGACCCACUUCAAGUUAAGAUUUUUUCUGCAGCCUACGACAGACAGUCUCUGUGACCUCACGACGUGCUGUGAAGACGGAAUGUUACGUAAAAAAAAUAUACUACCAAUGCAGCACUAACAUCACCAAAUAAUUUGUUCGAUAUAAAAUAAAUAUCGCGUGGCGUUCCGGCGCUACGUCUUGGGAUGCAGUCGAUCGCACUUUAGACGCUUUUGUAAAUACGAGAACCACUGAGGUUCAAAAGCAGUGCGUUUCAGGGGCGGUCAAACCAACUUUGCGAAUUCAGGAUUGUAAAGUCAAACUGACUUCAAUGUUAGUCAAAUCAAGAUUAAAUGUUGGUGUCUAACUCAGCCUGUUGUGAUACUGCUGCACACUAAAUAAAGUGCAUUGCCGUGAGUGGGUAGUCGUAUAUUUCUAAAAGUAACAAAAAAGCAUACACUGAUAACCCUGGAGUUAAAUCUUUUUUUUCUUUACCAACCCCCUAUUUUUCUGUCUGUGCUACUACACACAGAUACAUAUUCACACACACACACAUCACUAACGCUGCUGCACUUUUAAUAAUUUAAAUAGUGGCGGGCAAGUGGAUGGCAAGAAUGCCAGCCAGUAUUCAUAU